UACAGAGGUCCCAAGCGUUGUUCGGAUUCACUGGGCGUAAAGGGUGCGUAGGUGAUGAGGUAAGUCGGAUGUGAAAUCUCCGAGCUCAACUCGGAACUGCAUUGGAAACUACCUUGCUCGAGGGUUGGAGGGGGGACUGGAAUGCUUGGUGUAGCAGUGAAAAUGCGUAGAUAUCAAGCGGAACACCGGUGGCGAAGGCGGCCAACUGGACGAACACUGACGCUGAGACUCGAAAGCGUGGGGGAGCAAAACAGG
rnacentral:rRNA from 1 species